GACGAACGCUGGCGGCGUGCUUAACACAUGCAAGUCGAACGGAAAGGCCCUGCUUUUGUGGGGUGCUCGAGUGGCGAACGGGUGAGUAGCACGUGAGUAACCUGCCCUUGACUUUGGGAUAACUUCAGGAAACUGGGGCUAAUACCGGAUAGGAGCUCCUGCUGCAUGGUGGGGGUUGGAAAGUUUCGGCGGUUGGGGAUGGACUCGCGGCUUAUCAGCUUGUUGGUGGGGUAGUGGCUUACCAAGGCUUUGACGGGUAGCCGGCCUGAGAGGGUGACCGGCCACAUUGGGACUGAGAUACGGCCCAGACUCCUACGGGAGGCAGCAGUGGGGAAUAUUGCACAAUGGGCGGAAGCCUGAUGCAGCAACGCCGCGUGCGGGAUGACGGCCUUCGGGUUGUAAACCACUUUCGCCUGUGACGAAGCGUGAGUGACGGUAAUGGGUAAAGAAGCACCGGCUAACUACGUG
rnacentral:rRNA from 1 species